rnacentral:tRNA from 1 species
GGGACUGUAGUUUAUAUAAAACAAUUAAAUUGCAAUUAAAAAAACAUUACUUAUGCUGUCUCA